UACGGGGGGGGCAAGCGUUGUUCGGAAUUACUGGGCGUAAAGGGCGCGUAGGCGGCCUGUUAAGUCGAACGUGAAAUCCCCGGGCUCAACCCGGGAACUGCGUCCGAUACUGGCAGGCUUGAAUUCGGGAGAGGGAUGCGGAAUUCCAGGUGUAGCGGUGAAAUGCGUAGAUAUCUGGAGGAACACCGGUGGCGAAGGCGGCAUCCUGGACCGGCAUUGACGCUGAGGAGCGAAAGCGUGGGGAGCAAACAGG
rnacentral:rRNA from 1 species